UACGGAGGGUGCGAGCGUUGUCCGGAAUCAUUGGGCGUAAAGGGCGCGUAGGUGGCGGGACAAGCGUGCGGUGAAAGCUCGGGGCUCAACCCCGAGUCGGCCGUGCGAACUGUUUGCUGGAGCACUGUAGAGGCAGGCGGAAUUCCGGGUGUAGCGGUGGAAUGCGUAGAGAUCCGGAAGAACACCGGUGGCGAAGGCGGCCUGCUGGGCAGUUGCUGACACUGAGGCGCGACAGCGUGGGGAGCAAACAGG
rnacentral:rRNA from 1 species